rnacentral:rRNA from 1 species
UUCCGGUUGAUCCUGCCGGAGGCUACUGCUAUUGGAGUUCGAUUAAGCCAUGCGAGUUUAAGGGAUCUUCGGAUCCCUGGCGUAAUGCUCAGUAACACGUGGAUAAUCUACCCUCAGGUGGGGCAUAAACCCGGGAAACUGGGGCCAAUUCCCCAUAGAUACAGAAGGCUGGAAUGCUUCCGUAUUCAAAGCUCCGGCGCCUGAGGAUGAGUCUGCGGCCUAUCAGGUUGUAGUCAGGGUCAUGACCUGACUAGCCAGCGACGGGUAUGGGGUGUGAGAGCACUUGCCCAGAGAUGGUUUCUGAGACACGAAACCAGGCCCUACGGGGCGCAGCAGGCGCGAAAACUUCGCAAUGCGGGAAACCGUGACGAGGGGACUCCAAGUGUCUAUGCAUUGCAUAGACUGUUUUUUAGCCUAAAUAGCUAUUAGAGUAAGGGGUGGGUAAGACCGGUGCCAGCCGCCGCGGUAACACCGGCACCUCGAGUGGUAGCCACUAUUAUUGGGCCUAAAGCGUUCGUAGCCGGUUUGGUAAAUUCUUGGGUAAAUCGUACCGCUUAACGGUGCGGAUUCCGGGGACACUACCAGACUUGAGACCGGGGGAGAUCAGAGGUACUUGCGGGGGAGCGGUGAAAUGUUGUAAUCCCGCAGGGACCACCAGUGGCGAAGGCGUCUGAUCAGAACGGCUCUGACGGUGAGGGACGAAACCCUGGGGCGCAAACGGGAUUAGAUACCCCGGUAGUCCAGGGCGUAAACGCUGCUGACUUGGUGUUGGGGAUCCUACGAGGAUGUCCAGUGCUGGCGCGAAGGUAUUUAGUCAGCCGCCUGGGGAGUACGGUCGCAAGACUGAAACUUAAAGGAAUUGGCGGGGGAGCACUGCAACGUGUGGAGCGUGCGGUUUAAUUGGAUUCAACGCCGGA